AGCAGGUGGGGUACACCCGUUCUCAUUCCGAACACGGAAGUUAAGCCACCUCGCGCCGAUGGUACUUCGCUUUGCGAGGCAGAGUAGGUCAUCGC
rnacentral:rRNA from 1 species